GACGAACGCUGGCGGCGUGCUUAACACAUGCAAGUCGAACGGUAAGGCCCUUCGGGGUACACGAGUGGCGAACGGGUGAGUAACACGUGGGUAAUCUGCCCUGCACUUCGGGAUAAGCCUGGGAAACUGGGUCUAAUACCGGAUAUUCAGCUUUYRCCGCAUGGUGGUGGUUGGAAAGUUUUUCGGUGCAGGAUGAGCCCGCGGCCUAUCAGCUUGUUGGUGGGGUAAUGGCCUACCAAGGCGACGACGGGUAGCCGGCCUGAGAGGGUGAUCGGCCACACUGGGACUGAGACACGGCCCAGACUCCUACGGGAGGCAGCAGUGGGGAAUAUUGCACAAUGGGCGRAAGCCUGAUGCAGCGACGCCGCGUGGGGGAUGACGGUCUUCGGAUUGUAAACCCCUUUCAGUAGGGACGAAGCGCAAGUGACGGUACCUGCAGAAGA
rnacentral:rRNA from 1 species